rnacentral:rRNA from 1 species
UACGAAGGGUGCAAACGUUGCUCGGAAUUAUUGGGCGUAAAGCGUGCGCAGGCGGUUUUGUAAGUCUGUCGUGAAAUCCCCGGGCUCAACCUGGGAAUUGCGAUGGAGACUGCAAGGCUAGAAUCUGGCAGAGGGGGGUAGAAUUCCACGUGUAGCAGUGAAAUGCGUAGAGAUGUGGAGGAACACCGAUGGCGAAGGCAGCCCCCUGGGUCAAGAUUGACGCUCAUGCACGAAAGCGUGGGGAGCAAACAGG